rnacentral:tRNA from 1 species
GGGGGUGUAGCUCAGCUGGUAGAGCAUCCGGCUUUUAACCGGCAGGUCGUGGGUUCGAGCCCCACCGCCCCUA